AUUGAACGCUGGCGGCAGGCUUAACACAUGCAAGUCGAGCGGAGAGAGGUAGCUUGCUACCGAUCUUAGCGGCGGACGGGUGAGUAAUGCUAGGAAUCUGCCUAUUAGUGGGGGACAACAUUUCGAAAGGAAUGCUAAUACCGCAUACGUCCUACGGGAGAAAGCAGGGGAUCUUCGGACCUUGCGCUAAUAGAUGAGCCUAAGUCGGAUUAGCUGGUUGGUGGGGUAAAGGCCUACCAAGGCGACGAUCUGUAGCGGGUCUGAGAGGAUGAUCCAGCACACUGGGACUGAGACACGGCCCAGGCUCCUACGGGAGGCAGCAGUGGGGGAUAUUGGACAAUGGGCGCAAGCCUGAUCCAGCCAUGCCGCGUGUGUGAAGAAGGCCUUAUGGUUGUAAAGCACUUUAAGCGAGGAGGAGGCUACUUUAGUUAAUACCUAGAGAUAGUGGACGUUACUCGCAGAAUAAGCACCGGCUAACUCUGUGCCAGCAGCCGCGGUAACAC
rnacentral:rRNA from 1 species